AACUUUGAGCGGUGGAUCACUCGGCUCAUGCGUUGAUGAAGAACGCAGCUAGCUGCGAGAACUAAUGUGAAUUGCAGGACACAUUGAUCAUUGAAAUUUUGAAUUUACUCUGUGGCCCCAGGUUACUCCUAGGGCUACACCUGUCUGAGGGUCG